AACGAACGCUGGCGGCAGGCCUAGCACAUGCAAGUCGAGCGCCCCGCAAGGGGAGCGGCGGACGGGUGAGUAACGCGUGGGAACGUGCCCCUUUCUACGGAAUAGCCUCGGGAAACUGGGAGUAAUACCGUAUAAGCUCUACGGGGGAAAGAUUUAUCGGGAAGGGAUCGGCCCGCGUUGGAUUAGGUAGUUGGUGGGGUAAUGGCCUACCAAGCCGACGAUCCAUAGCUGGUUUGAGAGGAUGAUCAGCCACACUGGGACUGAGACACGGCCCAGACUCCUACGGGAGGCAGCAGUGGGGAAUCUUAGACAAUGGGCGCAAGCCUGAUCUAGCCAUGCCGCGUGAGCGAUGAAGGCCUUAGGGUUGUAAAGCUCUUUCCGUGGGGAAGAUAAUGACUGUACCCACAGAAGAAGCCCCGGCUAACUCCGUGCCAGCAGCCGCAGUAACAC
rnacentral:rRNA from 1 species